UGGGGAAUUGUUCGCAAUGGGCGCAAGCCUGACGACGCAACGCCGCGUGGAGGAUGAAGAUUUUCGGAUCGUAAACUCCUGUCGAAUGGGACGAAAAGAUUGCGGGUUAACAGCCCGUAGUCCUGACGGUACCGUUAAAGGAAACCCCGGCUAACUCCGUGCCAGCAGCCGCGGUAAUACGGGGGGGGUAAGCGUUGUUCGGAUUUACUGGGCGUAAAGGGCGCGUAGGCGGCGUGGUAAGUCAGCUGUGAAAUCUCCGAGCUUAACUCGGAACGGUCAGCUGAUACUGCUGUGCUAGAGUACAGAAGGGGCAAUCGGAAUUCUUGGUGUAGCGGUGAAAUGCGUAGAUAUCAAGAGGAACACCUGAGGUGAAGACGGGUUGCUGGGCUGAUACUGACGCUGAGGCGCGAAAGCUAGGGUAGCAA
rnacentral:rRNA from 1 species